rnacentral:snoRNA from 2 species
GGGUCAAGUGAUGAGUAACAAACUGCAACAAUAUGAUGGGAGUAAUAAUACUCCUAUGAUUCCCAAGUAUUUAAGUCUCUGAUGAUC